CUUGACUGUAUCCUGGAAUUGGGUUCGGGCUUUUCUUGCGCAGCCUAGGUGGGAGGCUAUGAAGAUUUCCUUCCGGGGAAGUUGGAGCCAACAGUGAGAGACCACUCUGGAAAGGCUAGAAUCCUCAUGGUGAUCCUUGAAUCAGGACACUUGACAGUUUCAGGCGGGCAGUUUCUCUGGGGCGGAGACCUCAUAAAGGGUAACUGAGGCGCGCAAAGGUCCCCUCAGUCUGGACGGAAAUCAGACAACGAGUGUAAAGGCAAAAGGGGGCUUGACUGCAAGACCUACAAGUCGAGCAGGAGCGAAAGCUGGCCUUAGUGAUCCGACGGUACCGUGUGGAAGGGCCGUCGCUCAACGAAUAAAAGUUA
rnacentral:rRNA from 1 species